CAAACUCCGAAUGCCGGUAAGUGAGAGCGCAGCAGUGAGACGGUGGGGGAUAAGCUUCAUCGUCAAGAGGGAAACAGCCCAGACCACCAGCUAAGGCCCCCAAAUAAUUACUAAGUGGCAAAGGAUGUGGGAACACUGAGACAAUCAGGAGGUUCGCCUAGAAGCAGCUAUCCUUUAAAGAGUGCGUAAUAGCUCACUGAUCAAGUGCACCUGCGCCGAAAAUGACUGGGACUAAGUAAUUUGCCGAAGCUGUGGGAUUUUUAAAAAUCGGUAGGGGAGCGUUCCACCUUAGAUAGAAGCAUUAGCGUAAGCGGAUGUGGACGAAGUGGAAGUGAGAAUGUCGGCUUGAGUAGCGAAAACAUUGGUGAGAAUCCAAUGCCCCGAAAACCUAAGGUUUCCUCCGGAAGGCUCGUCCGCGGAGGGUGAGUCAGGACCUAAGGUGAGGCCGAAAGGCGUAACUAAUGGACAACGGGUUAAUAUUCCUGUACCAUUUAUUACUGGUAUCGAGGGACGGAGAAGGCUAAACCAUCCGGAUGUUGGUUACCGGUUUAAACGUUAAAGGUGUUGAGAAACGGAGAAAACGUUUUGAGCUAAGGCGUGAAUACGAGAUACUAAGGUAUCGAAGUGGUUGAUGUCAUACUUCCAAGAAAAGCUCGAAAUACCAUAAGUAAUAAAUGCCUGUACCUUAAACCGACACAGGUAGGUAGGUAGAGUAUACCAAGGGGCGCGAGAUAACUCUCUCUAAGGAACUCGGCAAAAUAACCUCGUAACUUCGGAAGAAGAGGUACCCUUGCAAGAGGGUUGCAAUAACCAGACCCUGGCGACUGUUUACCAAAAACACAGGUCUCCGCAAAUUCGUAAGAUUAAGUAUGGAGGCUGACGCCUGCCCAGUGCCGGAAGGUUAAAGAAGUUGGUCAAUCCUCGGAUGAAGCUGGCGACUGAAGCCCCGGUGAACGGCGGCCGUAACUAUAACGGUCCUAAGGUAGCGAAAUUCCUUGUCGGGUAAGUUCCGACCUGCACGAAUGGCGUAACGACUUCCCAGCUGUCUCAACCGCGAACUCGGCGAAAUUGCACUACGAGUAAAGAUGCUCGUUACGCGCAGCAGGACGGAAAGACCCCGUGACCUUUACUACAGCUUGGUAUUGGUGUUUGGUUCAAUUUGUGUAGGAUAGGUGGGAGACUGUGAAGCUCGGACGCUAGUUCGGGUGGAGUCAUUGUUGAAAUACCACUCUGGUCACUCUGGAUAUCUAACUUCGAACCGUGAUCCGGUUCAGGGACAGUGCCUGGUGGGUAGUUUAACUGGGGCGGUUGCCUCCCAAAAAGUAACGGAGGCGCCCAAAGGUUCCCUCAACCUGGUUGGCAAUCAGGUGUCGAGUGUAAGUGCACAAGGGAGCUUGACUGUGAGACUGACAAGUCGAGCAGGGACGAAAGUCGGGACUAGUGAUCCGGCAGUGGCUUGUGGAAGCGCUGUCGCUCAACGGAUAAAAGGUACCUCGGGGAUAACAGGCUGAUCUUGCCCAAGAGUCCAUAUCGACGGCAUGGUUUGGCACCUCGAUGUCGGCUCGUCGCAUCCUGGGGCUGGAGUAGGUCCCAAGGGUUGGGCUGUUCGCCCAUGAAAGCGGUACGCGAGCUGGGUUCAGAACGUCGUGAGACAGUUCGGUCCAUAUCCGGUGCAGGCG
rnacentral:rRNA from 1 species